CUUUAGUUAGACGUGGAAUCCAAUCUAGUAUCGGAUGUCGCCAAACUGUCUUGUUUACUCCGAAGCUAUUUAACCAAUAAACUAACAUUAAACAACACACUCUGCGACCGAGUACUAUUGUGUUUCUACGCAAGUUGUUUUCCCAUAUCCCUCUUCAGCACGUAUUGAUUGCCAUUCCUGCCAAAGCUUAAAGUGGUCCCCGGUUGGGUUUUCCAGGCAAUUAAGACUUUACUUUGCGCAAAACAGAACCAUGUUAACUGUCCUAUCCGACAGAACUACCUACUCGCGUAGUCGUGUACUUGUCAG